GCGGCCUGGUAGUUGGGAGACUGGAGUGAAGGAGAGGAGAGUGGAAUUCCGAGUGUAGCGGUGAAAUGCGUAGAGAUUAGGAGGAACACCAGUUGCGAAGGCGGCUCUCUGGACUGUAACUGACGCUGAGGCAAGAAAGCGUGGGGAGCAAACAGGAUUAGAUACCCUGGUAGUCCACGCUGUAAACGAUGAGUACUAGGUGUCGGGGGUUACCCCCUUCGGUGCUGCAGCUAACGCAUUAAGUACUCCGCCUGGGAAGUACGCUCGCAAGAGUGAAACUCAAAGGAAUUGCCGGGGACCCGCACAAGUAGCGGAGCAUGUGGUUUAAUUCGAAGCAACGCGAAGAACCUUACCUAAGCUUGACAUCCCAAUGACAUCUCCUUAAUCGGAGAAUUCUCUUCGGGGACAUUGGUGACAGGUGGUGCAUGGU
rnacentral:rRNA from 1 species